CAGCCGCCACGGUAAUACGUAGGUGGCAAGCGUUGUCCGGAAUUAUUGGGCGUAAAGGGCUCGCGGGCGGUUUCUUAAGUCUGAUGUGAAAGCCCCCGGCUCAACCGAGGAGGGUCAUUGGAAACUGGGAAGCUUGAGUGCAGAAGAGGAGAGUGGAAUUCCACGUGUAGCGGUGAAAUGCGUAGAGAUGUGGAGGGACACCAGUGGCGAAGGCGACUCUCUGGUCUGUAACUGACGCUGAGGAGCGAAAGCGUGGGGAGCGAACAGGAUUAGAUACCCGCGUAGUCCCUGUCUCUUAUAC
rnacentral:rRNA from 1 species